rnacentral:rRNA from 1 species
GUGGGGAAUCUUCCGCAAUGGGCGCAAGCCUGACGGAGCAACGCCGCGUGAAUGAAGAAGGCCUUCGGGUCGUAAAGUUCUGUCUUUAGAGAAGAAGUCUCUCUAUGUGAAUAAUGUAGAGAGGUGACGGUACCUAAGGAGGAAGCUCCGGCUAACUACGUGCCAGCAGCCGCGGUAAUACGUAGGGAGCAAGCGUUGUCCGGAAUUACUGGGCGUACAGGGCGCGUAGGCGGAUAAUUAAGUCAGGUGUGAAAACUCUGGGCUCAACCUGGAGAGUGCACUUGAAACUGGUUAUCUUGAGGGCAGGAGAGGAAAGUGGAAUUCCUAGUGUAGCGGUGAAAUGCGUAGAUAUUAGGAGGAACACCAGUGGCGAAGGCGACUUUCUGGACUGCACCUGACGCUGAGGCGCGAAAGCGUGGGGAGCGAACGGGAUUAGAAACCCCAGUAGUCC